rnacentral:rRNA from 1 species
AUGAGUACACUUUAAAUCCUUUAACGAGUAUCCAUUGGAGGGCAAGUCUGGUGCCAGCAGCCGCGGUAAUUCCAGCUCCAAUAGCGUAUAUUAAAGUUGUUGCGGUUAAAAAGCUCGUAGUUGGACUUGUGUCCCGCGCUGUCGGUUCACCGCCCGCCGGUGUUUAACUGGCAUGGUUCGCGGGACGUCCUGCCGGUGGCGGCGAGCCGAAGGGUUGCCCGUGCCGUGGCUCCUGCCGCGGUGCGUAAGUGGCCCCGAGGCGGACCCCGAUUCAAUCCUACCGCGGUGCUCUUCAUCGAGUGUCGAGGUGGGCCGGCACGUUUACUUUGAACAAAUUAGAGUGCUUAAAGCAGGCCGGUCGCGCCUGAAUACUGUGUGCAUGGAAUAAUGGAAUAGGACCUCGGUUCUAUUUUGUUGGUUUUCGGAACCCGAGGUAAUGAUUAAUAGGGACAGUCGGGGGCAUUCGUAUUGCGACGUUAGAGGUGAAAUUCUUGGAUCGUCGCAAGACGAACCGAAGCGAAAGCAUUUGCCAAGUAUGUUUUCAUUAAUCAAGAACGAAAGUUAGAGGUUCGAAGGCGAUCAGAUACCGCCCUAGUUCUAACCAUAAACGAUGCCAGCUAGCGAUCCGCCGAAGUUCCUCCGAUGACUCGGCGGGCAGCUCUCGGGAAACCAAAGCUUUUGGGUUCCGGGGGAAGUAUGGUUGCAAAGCUGAAACUUAAAGGAAUUGACGGAAGGGCACCACCAGGAGUGGAGCCUGCGGCUUAAUUUGACUC